rnacentral:rRNA from 1 species
GACGAACGCUGGCGGCGUGCUUAACACAUGCAAGUCGAACGGAAAGGCCCCUUCGGGGGUACUCGAGUGGCGAACGGGUGAGUAACACGUGAGUAACCUGCCCUUGACUUCGGGAUAACUUCAGGAAACUGGGGCUAAUACCGGAUAGGAAUCCUUGCUGCAUGGUGGGGGUUGGAAAGCUUCGGCGGUUUUGGAUGGACUCGCGGCUUAUCAGCUUGUUGGUGGGGUAGUGGCUUACCAAGGCUUUGACGGGUAGCCGGCCGGAGAGGGCGACCGGCCACAUUGGGACUGAGAUACGGCCCAGACUCCUACGGGAGGCAGCAGUGGGGAAUAUUGCACAAUGGGCGGAAGCCUGAUGCAGCAACGCCGCGUGCGGGAUGACGGCCUUCGGGUUGUAAACCGCUUUCAGCAGGGGCGAAGCUUGUGGUGACGGUACCUGCAGAAGAAGCACCGGCUAACUACGUG